CAGCUGUUUCCCCUGCCCCUACUGCAGCUCGGAGACUACAGGCAGAGAUGAAAAAUUCUCCUGAUUUUCCAAAAUAUUGAAUCCAGCAGGAGAGGAGUUUUGAGGAAGUGUGGGCCCAGGCUGCUCAGGCUGCCUAUUACUGUACUUCCAGCGACUUGAAUGUAGAAUUGCUCCUGAACCUGGCACUGUGACGCUAACCAGAACCUAAGCAAACAGCAAAAGGACCCGAGUCCUUUGAGGUCAGACUAUUUCUACAAGGAAGGAGAGGAUAGGUGAAGGGUGGAAGUUAACAGUUGUACCUAAAAGCAAGAAUAGGUACGUGUGCUUAUGGCACAAACUGGCCUGUGCACAAUCAUGGUAAUCACAUAAUACUGUGGAGAUUUCACAUCCCCUACCGACUGUUGCAGAUGCCGCUGCCAUACUGAGUGUGAAAGAUGAAGAUGUUCUGACAACAGCAGAUCAAGAUAAUGCUAAGCAGGUAAAUCUGAUAUUGCAAGUUAUUCUAAAAGAGUGGCCUUUACUAAAUAGUUUUGGUAAGAGAGACAACCUUAUCUAUCAUGACAAACUCCAUGGUUCCAACUGGCCAAGGAAAAUAAAGAAGGCAGUGCAAAGGAAUAGCUUGAAUAGGGGCAGGAAGUUUAUUCACCCCACUGCUUUCUUACUAACCCAGAGCUAAACCUUAAAAGAAGGAAUUUUAUUCCUGGUUCAAAAUUUUGCUC